rnacentral:rRNA from 1 species
AAGCGUCUGUAGGUGUCUUGCCACGUCUGGCCAUAAAUUGCGGGGCUCAACCCCGCAUCCUGGCUGGAAACGAGCGAGAUCGAGUCAUUCAGAGGCAUCUGGAAUGUCGUGUGUAGGGGUAAAAUCCGUAGAUACACGAUGGAACGCCGAAGGCGAAAGCAGGAUGCUGGGAAUGUACUGACACUCAGAGACGAAAGCGUGGGGAGCAAAGGGGAUUAGAUACCCCCGUAGUCCACGCCCUAAACGAUGCAGGCUCGGUGUAGGACCGUUCAAUCUGGUCCUGUGCCUUAGCUUACGCGGUAAGCCUGCCGCCUGAGAAGUACGGCCGCAAGGCUAAAACUCAAAGGAAUAGACGGGGACCCACACAAGCGGUGGAGCAUGGGGUUUAAUUCGAUGACAAGCGAAGCACCUCACCCAGGCUUGACAUGGUUGGAAUCCGGCAGAAACGUCGGAGUGCCGCAAGGAACCAACACACAGGCGCUGCACGGUCGUCGUCAGCUCGUGCCUUGAGGUGUACUGUUCAGUCAGCCAACGAGCGCAACCCUCAUCUCAUGUUAUUAUGUCAUGAGAGACUGCCGCCUCCAAGGCGGAGGAAGGUGAGGAUGACGUCAGAUCAGCGUGGCCCUUAUGCCUGGGGCAACACCCGUGCUACAAUGGCCGGUACAAACCGCAGCAAACCCGCGAGGGGGAGCCAAUCGGAAAAAACCGGCCUCAGUUCAGAUUGAAGUCUGCAACUCGACUUCAUGAAGUUGGAAUCGCUAGUAACCGUGAAUCAGCUACGUCACGGUGAAUAUGUUCCUGGGCCUUGUACUCACCGCCCGUCAACUCAUGGAAAGGUAGGGGCACCCGAAGCUCCGUUACUCGCAAGAGGCGGAACCCACGGUGACACUACUGACUGGGAGUAAGUCGUAACAAGGUAA